rnacentral:rRNA from 1 species
UUACGUCCGUAACGAGCGCAACCCUUGUCCUUAGUUACCAGCACGUUAUGGUGGGCACUCUAAGGAGACUGCCGGUGACAAACCGGAGGAAGGUGGGGAUGACGUCAAGUCAUCAUGGCCUUACGGCCUGGGCUACACACGUGCUACAAUGGUCGGUACAAAGGGUUGCCAAGCCGCGAGGUGGAGCUAAUCCCAUAAAACCGAUCGUAGUCCGGAUCGCAGUCUGCAACUCGACUGCGUGAAGUCGGAAUCGCUAGUAAUCGUGAAUCAGAAUGUCACGGUGAAUACGUUCCCGGGCCUU